rnacentral:lncRNA from 1 species
UGGGCUCCAUCCUAGCGAUCUCGAUGGAGGUUCCUGCAGCGUUUUUUCCAGCUCUCCCUGUCUUUUUUCCAUGGGAUUUUUCUUUCCUUUUUUAGGCGGAGGGUUGCCAUAUCCCUCAAAUUAGGAGCAAGGGGAGAAAAUGAGAAAUUCUGGUUUCGCUCCACCUGUGCUCCACCCACCCAGGUUCUUUCCAAAAAAUUUAAAAAAGAUUAGAGCUGGAAGAAGUCAGCAGAAAGCUCUAAAGUGCCUCUGGUUUCACCUGGUGCCUUAGCUGAGAUGGAGUGGUAGAGCCUCCUGGGGGCCUUUGAUGCAGAGGAAGAAGAACAGUGGAAGAGUGUUGCUGUGAAGAGAGCUUUCAGUGUUCCAGCGCUCACUCAUUCACUCUUAGCCCAGGACAUCCAUUUAAAUGAAAAGUUAUUACAACAGAGGGAGACAUAGUCCCUGAGCCUAAAGAGAAGACCCUUCAUGUUCAACUUCUUGCUCUAAGACGGAAUUACCGUACAAGGUAGGUAAUAUGGUGCCCAGGGGAUGUCAUUGACUGAAUGUAAGAGGCUCUGAAUCAUUGCGUGUCUAGGGUGAGUCCCUUUUCCCCUCUGAGCCUCAGUUUCUGCCUCUGUAAAAAGGAGAGGAUAAAGUUUUGUUGUUUUGUUUGCAUUCACGUUCUGCAGUUCCAUGAAGUACCACUUGGGGUCCAGAGUGAGCCGUGGGAAGGAGCCCUUUGUGAUGUGAUGUUGCACCCAUAGCAGUAUGUCUUCCAGGCUCUCUAUCACUUUCUUAUUUUCUCAUCAGAUUUCUGUCACUGGAGCUUUAUGUUAGAGGAUAAAAUUCCACCUAGUUAGGGUUUAGACCAUUGUUUACCUGCCUAGGCUUUUACGUAUAAACCAUGGAUUAUCUUGUAACCCUUGAUGCCAGGGUGCGGGUUUUAUUUGAGGAUGUGCUGGAGGGAAAAGGAGGUAAUUAACUACCAACGAACGCUUUCUCUCAGGGAAGGGGGGGAAAAGAAAGCAGAGAGAAUGUAAAUAUGAGGAAGUCUGAACUAGUCAUAGCUAUGAUUUAUUGAGAGCUUCCUAUUUGCCAGGUAAAUCUAAGUGUUUUCUAUAUUCUAUCUCACAUCUAAUUCUUAUAACAACCAUUUCAAAUGUGAAUUGUGACCCAUUCCAAGCAAAUGAGCUGUUUCCAAGGACACAUGAGAUGUGGAUGAUAGAGCUAAGAACUGGCUGCCAACUGCAACACUCACUCUUAUAACCACUACUCUAGACUGAUCCAUGAGAAGAGUGAAAGGUAGCUUCAGAGGCCCAUGAACCUGGAACUAUUCCCUCAAUAUGAAAAGAUGAAGUCAAACAUUUUAGCAAGAAGUUGAUUUAAUUCAGUUGUAUCAUAUUGGCAGUUUUGCUCAAUGCCAUGACAUUAUUAUAUGUGGGUCAGGACCCUAGAAUGAUUCCUGAU